GCCAGGCAUGGUGGUGCAUGCCUGUAAUCCCAGCAGCUCGGGGGGCUGAGGCAGGAGGAUCUGGAGAUCAAAGCCAAUUUCAGCAACUUAGCAAGGUGCUAAGCAACUCUGUGAGACUCUGUCUCUA
rnacentral:sRNA from 1 species